rnacentral:rRNA from 1 species
GUUGACCUCGGAUCAGGUAGGGAUACCCGCUGAACUUAAGCAUAUCAAUAAGCGGAGGAAAAGAAACCAACAGGGAUUGCCCUAGUAACGGCGAGUGAAGCGGCAACAGCUCAAAUUUGAAAGCUGGCCUUCGGGUCCGCAUUGUAAUUUGUAGAGGAUGCUUUGAGGCAGCCGCCUGUCUAAGUUCCUUGGAACAGGACGUCAUAGAGGGUGAGAAUCCCGUAUGUGACAGGAAAUGGCACCUUAUGUAAAGCUCCUUCGACGAGUCGAGUUGUUUGGGAAUGCAGCUCUAAAUGGGAGGUAAAUUUCUUCUAAAGCUAAAUACCGGCGAGAGACCGAUAGCGCACAAGUAGAGUGAUCGAAAGAUGAAAAGCACUUUGGAAAGAGAGUUAAAAAGCACGUGAAAUUGUUGAAAGGGAAGCGCUUGCAAUCAGACUUGUUUAAACUGUUCGGCCGGUCUUCUGACCGGUUUACUCAGUUUGGACAGGCCAGCAUCAGUUUCGGCGGCCGGAUAAAGGCUUUGGGAAUGUGGCUCUCACUUCGGUGGGAGUGUUAUAGUCCCAA